UACGGCCACGUACAAUCUGUGCUUCGGAAGAACCACCAUCAAACACGAGUUUCAUCUCGUACAGAAUCUUGUCAACCUGGAGUAUGAUGGCAUGUUGGGGUGCGACUUCGUAGUGAAAUAUGGAUGCUCCAUCAACUUCGAGCGCUAUCUGAUUACGAUGAAUUUUGACUAAUAGUAGUGUAAAGCAAGUGGAAUUUUGCUACACAGAAAACUGAACUUCACAUAGCGUUAUCUGCAAGCAGAUAGAACAUGGUUCUAUUACUGGUGUAAUAGUUUUUCCAUUAUUAUUCAUUGACAUGUCUUGCCUAAUGAAGUCAUGUAUUACCAGGCCAUGAAUAAAAUAAUGAACUAACAUCAAUCAUUGCUUGCAAAACUCAUAUGAAACAGUUGCAAAAUGUUUAUACGACCCCUUGCAUUACGCAACGAACAGAAUUGGAGCCAUCAUAAAGGUUCGUGCGAUCCCCUGUGUUCCGUACACCGCAGCGACACAACCGUCUUAAGGAUGCGUUUAGUUUUCAGCUGCCUGCUGCUGGAAAGGAGCCGAAUUAUUUUACCCAUGGAUUUUUGUCCCCAUCUCACAGCACAAAGGAAAAGAAAAGCACAAGACGGGGGAAGGACAACCACCACCCGGAUUGGUAUCUGUUUUUCUUAGAUUCAAAAUUGAAUUAAAGCAAGUCACCUAGAAACCCCCGACAGUACCCCGGUGCGUGCACAGCAGCUGUCCGAGGUAGGUGUUUGUUUUUUGUUCUUUUAAUGCUUUCCGGCGGUUGCUCACUAUCCCCCCCGCCAAGAGGCUAAGCGGAACAGCAAAAGGACACACAGAAGUACGCGCGGCGAGAAAACGCGACGAAUUAGCGAAGCUCAAGAUAGAGCUUCUUCCCCUAAAUUGAACCGGAAUUCAAUUUAACUGUCACUGGCCGGUGACUUGGCCGACCGAAAGCAUCUUUUUUAAAAUUCGUUUGUAGUGAAAGGCGAAUAUUUCCUGGCGUUUGGUGAGAGCUUUUUUGGAAAAAGUUAGAGAAAAACUUGUACUUAAGGUGAUUUUUAGAGUAUCUUGGAGCAAGCAAAAGCCAUAAAUUAAUUAAACUUGGGAGCGUUUGUGUAUCAAUCUCCAUCAUCCUGUUCUAGUUGCAAGCAAUAUAAAUAUCUUUCUUGCCACUCACCUGCCAUAUAUUCUUCAACAAUUCGUGUCCAAAGAU